rnacentral:rRNA from 1 species
CGGGCGAGGCGCCGGUCUAAGUCCCUUGGAACGGGGCGUCAGAGAGGGUGAGAAUCCCGUACGCGACCGGUGGCCGAGCCUAUGUGAAACCCNUUCGACGAGUCGAGUUGUUUGGGAAUGCAGCUCAAAACGGGUGGUAAAUUUCAUCUAAAGCUAAAUACCGGCCAGAGACCGAUAGCGCACAAGUAGAGUGAUCGAAAGAUGAAAAGCACUUUGGAAAGAGAGUCAAAAAGUACGUGAAAUUGUUGAAAGGGAAGCGCUUGCAACCAGACCUGCCCGCGGGUGAUCAGCCGUCCUUCUGGGCGGUGCACUCGCCCGCGAUCAGGCCAGCAUCGGUUCGGGCGGUCGGAUAAAGGCCUCGGGAACGUGGCUCCCCUCGGGGAGUGUUAUAGCCCUUGGUGCAAUGCGGCCCGCCCGGACCGAGGACCGCGCUUCGGCUAGGAUGCUGGCGUAAUGGUUGUAAGCGGCCCGUCUUGAAACACGGACCAAGGAGUCGACCAACUAUGCGAGUGUUUGGGUGUCAAACCCACACGCGCAAUGAAAGUGAACGGAGGUGGGAACCCCUCGCGGGGCGCACCAUCGACCGAUCCAGAUGUCUUCGGAUGGAUUUGAGUACGAGCAUAGCUGGUCGGACCCGAAAGAUGAUGAACUAUGCCUGAAUAGGGUGAAGCCAGAGGAAACUCUGGUGGAGGCUCGCAGCGGUUCUGACGUGCAAAUCGAUCGUCAAAUUUGGGCAUAGGGGCGAAAGACUAAUCGAAUCAUC